rnacentral:rRNA from 1 species
CGGGUGAGUAAUGCGUGACCAACCUGCCCCAUGCUCCAGAAUAGCUCUUGGAAACGGGUGGUAAUGCUGGAUGCUCCAACUUGACGCAUGUCUUGUUGGGAAAGUGUUUAGUGGCAUGGGAUGGGGUCGCGUCCUAUCAGCUUGUAGGCGGGGUAAUGGCCCACCUAGGCUUCGACGGGUAGCCGGCCUGAGAGGGCGGACGGCCACAUUGGGACUGAGAUACGGCCCAGACUCCUACGGGAGGCAGCAGNA